UAUUGUUUCCUGGACCUUCGGGAUUUUCCUGCAAGUUGGUACCCUCUGUAUUAUCAGUUCUUUGGUUUGAAAAUACAAAACUAUCCUCUACAAACAAAAAGUUAUAUUUUGAUACACUUGCAGGAAAAUCCGGCAUGUUAUUUCAUUGGUUUGCAGUGGUUAUUCCAUAAAAUUCAAUUAUAUUACUGCUAUAUUAGAAAAGGCAAAGAUUUGAACAUGCUUGUGCUUCAAGGUUAUUUUUGUCUUUUUGAUUUAGUUGAUAUACAUGUGUCAUCAUGUCACAAGAAAAAUGGUCAAACCCAUCGACAGCUCCCUCAACUUGCACUAUCUUUCACUUUGACACCUCAAAUGGACAUUGGUUACUUUUGGCACCUCAAGUAGCAUAUAAAUGUGUCAUUUUGACAUUUUUUGCUGAAUCAGCAAAAUUAUACAAGGUGUGUGUAUUACACGUGCUGUUGACAUGUAAAGUGACAAAUAGUAUGCCGACAUUUGUCAUUUUUCUAAAAGAUAAUUUUAAACCCUAUCCCUAACCUUCAAAAUCAUCUUCUAAAUGCAGCAGUGCCUCCCCUCUCACCCCCAAUACCCCACCCCCAACAUUGUUUCUCUAACUCACCCCCACCCUCUAAAAUUUUAAAUCUCUGAAAUUUCAAAUUUCAACUUGUUAGAGACGGAAGCCAUUGAUGGACCUUCACUAAACACACACAAUUUCUUUCUUCCUCUUUGUGAUGAUUCAUGUUUAAAAAAAUGAAUUCUUCAGUCAAAUUAAAUUGGGGCAAAACACAGAUGUCGUCAUUGUCUUUUUCCGUAGCUGUUACGGUAGAGACGACCUUACCGGUGAUGGUCGUCGUCGUUAAGAUGACUGUUAUCGGUGAGGUUUCUUCCUCUUGAUGCCUGUAUAUGUGGAUUCUUUAAUCAUAUUAUGCAAAAUUCAGUUGAAAAAGUUGUUUAUUGGAUCAAAUUGAGAAAUACUAAAUUGGAAAAAAAUAAAAUUAAUAGUAUAACUCAAUAAAAUAUUGUUAAAAUUUAUCAAAAGUUUGAGGAAUGAAGGGGAGAAUUCAUUAAUAUCAAAAAUUAAAAUUAAUGGUGAAGAAAAUGAAUUCUUCAACAAUGGAAGCUUGUGAAGGAAAAACAUAGUGGAAAAGGGAGAAAGAAGGAGAAGAUAGAGGAUAAAAUUACAAAAAUACCCCUCAGAACGCGUUCAAAAUGCGUGUCAUACGUCCAUUGUUGAUUCAACAAAAAGUGUCAAAACGACACACUUUAUAGCUACUUGAGGUGUCAAAAGUGAACAACGUGCACUUGAGGUGCCAAAGUGAAAGAUGGUGUCAAGUUGAGGGGGCUGUCAAUGGAUUUGGCCCAAGAAAAAUACUUCCAACUUUCUCCUCCUUUGUGUUUCUUUCUUUGUC
rnacentral:lncRNA from 1 species